UACAGAGGUCUCAAGCGUUGUUCGGAUUCAUUGGGCGUAAAGGGUGCGUAGGUGGCGUCGUAAGUCGGGUGUGAAAUUUCGGAGCUUUAACUCCGAAACUGCAUUCGAUACUGCCGUGCUUGAGGACUGGAGAGGAGACUGGAAUUUACGGUGUAGCGGUGAAAUGCGUAGAUAUCUGGAGGAACACCGGUGGCGAAGGCGGCAUCCCUGGACCGGCAUUGACGCUGAGGCGCGAAAGCCAGGGGAGCAAAGCGGG
rnacentral:rRNA from 1 species